GAUGAACGCUGGCGGCGUGCCUAAUACAUGCAAGUCGAGCGAACAGACGAGGAGCUUGCUCCUCUGACGUUAGCGGCGGACGGGUGAGUAACACGUGGAUAACCUACCUAUAAGACCGGGAUAACUUCGGGAAACCGGAGCUAAUACCGGAUAAUAUAUUGAACCGCAUGGUUCAAUAGUGAAAGACGGUUUUGCUGUCACUUAUAGAUGGAUCCGCGCCGCAUUAGCUAGUUGGUAAGGUAACGGCUUACCAAGGCAACGAUGCGUAGCCGACCUGAGAGAGUGAUCGGCCACACUGGAACUGAGACACGGUCCAGACUCCUACGGGAGGCAGCAGUAGGGAAUCUUCCGCAAUGGGCGAAAGCCUGACGGAGCAACGCCGCGUGAGUGAUGAAGGUCUUCGGAUCGUAAAACUCUGUUAUUAGGGAAGAACAAAUGUGUAAGUAAAUAUGCAUGUCUUGACGGUACCUAAUCAGAAAGCCACGGCUAACUACGUG
rnacentral:rRNA from 1 species